CCUACUGCGACGCGGAGGACAUUGCUGGAAGCGCCGCAGGUGCACCCAGAAACCCUUUGUGAACUUAUACCUAUUAUCGUUGCCUCGGCGCUGGCUGCCUCGUCUCUCGCAGACAGGCGCCCUCUCUUCGGAGGGGACAGCAGGCCCGCCGGCGGCCUACUUAACUCUUGUUUUUACUGAGUAUCUUCUGAGUAAAGCUUCUAAAUGAAUCAAAACUUUCAACAACGGAUCUCUUGGUUCUGGCAUCGAUGAAGAACGCAGCGAAAUGCGAUAAGUAAUGUGAAUUGCAGAAUUCAGUGAAUCAUCGAAUCUUUGAACGCACAUUGCGCCCUCUGGUAUUCCAGAGGGCAUGCCUGUUCGAGCGUCAUUUCAACCCUCAAGCCUAGCUUGGUGUUGGGGCAUUACCUGUACUGUUUUACAGAAGGGUAAGCCCUGAAAUUUAGUGGCGAGCUCGCCAGGACUCCGAGCGUAGUAGUAAAACCCUCGCUUAGGAUCGUACUGGCGCGGCCCUGCCGUAAAACCCCCAACUUCUGAAAAUUUGACCUCGGAUCAGGUAGGAAUACCCGCUGAACUUAAGCAUUU
rnacentral:rRNA from 1 species